GUUAACUUUAACGGUCAACGGUU
rnacentral:miRNA from 1 species